AUUUCAGUAAAACCCUAAAAACUCUCAUUUUUCCCUUUUCUAAAACUGCCACAGUUAUCCCGUUAUUCAUAUUUUCCGGACAUCUUUUUAUUUUGAUCCCAACAAACAAGUUCUACAAGAAAUAUUUUAUAUUGAAGUCCUCCUCACUCUCCAACCGCACAAAUCUUCACUCCCACAAAGUUUACUUUAUAUUUCUGGUGGAUCGUUUUAUAUAUCUUUGUUGCUCAUCACGUGUUUGUGUACAAAUUACCUAAAAGGCAAUUAGGGUCAAAUCUUUCUAUAAUAGCAGUAUUUGUUUAAAAUUUUUAUGAUUAUAUUAUAGUGAGAUAUUGCUAUAUAUGUAUAUUAGUAUUUAAUGUUUAGAUCUUAUUUAGAUACUAUAUAUAAACAAAAGUAUGUAAAAUUAGAAAGGAUGUGAAUGUAAAGAAUGACAAACACUUAUAGUCUUUCCCCGUGAA